rnacentral:snoRNA from 1 species
GUAUGAUGAAUAUCUGAUAUAUGUUUUUCUGGCAUCUCUAAUGUUAGGACUUUAACGGGUCCAAUGAAUAGAACGUAAGUCACCUGUCUGAUU